ACAAGACAAAUUCAGGCUGCAGGAUGGAUCGGUCACACACUCUGUACAGAAGGGGAACAUCCAGAAAAUAAAUGUGGAAAACAGACUGAUGACAGCUUUGUGACAUCCACCCCUCUGCUUCUGAGUGCCUUUUAUCCAACAGGAAAACAAAGCAUUCAGUUAAGGAAGACUGGAAAAAUUAAGCCUGAAUCCCUCAUUGACCUGAAACCCACCCUCCAGGGGAAACCAGCAGCUUUCAGACCAGCCUUUCACUGUUCCUAAUGAGAACAACAUUAGACUUCUACCUCAACACGACUGAAAUGAUUUCAUGGUAGAAAAUUAUCAUUUCUAUACUUCAGAAGCACUGGUGAUAUUCAAAUUAGAAUCCUUCCAUACUAACUG
rnacentral:lncRNA from 1 species